UAGUGAUUAGUUUAUAGAGAACACCGCAAUUUGACUGCGGGAGCGGCAGUGCAACUCUUCCAUUACUAA
rnacentral:tRNA from 1 species